AGUGACUACACAGACAUCCAAUGUUGUAGUCUUUCUGCCGCACGCACAGAAUGAUCACCGCAGCCCUAGCCACUCAGCAAGGACAGCAGAGCCCCGAGAGCCACAAGACAGGUGGCCUGCUCUGCAGCCCCUGGCUCCCUCUUUGGUUGGCACUGGACGAAGAAUGAGGAUGAAACCAUCUCUGUGAUUCUUCAACGCAAGCUGCAGCAGCACGCUCAAGAGGAGGUUCUCUUGGCAAUGAGAAUAGCCAAGCACCCGAGUGACUAAUUAGAGAGGCACAAGGCAGAAGAGAGGCGGGGUUCACACAGAGGUACCGUGGGACCCUCCGGAUGGAAACCUCAAGGCCACGAUGUAAUUUGUCUUGCAGGAGUCUUGCAGAUUCAGGCAGUUGGGCCUCUCUCGUUCUUCAUAGGAGCACACAGGGACGAUAGUCUGUCGCCGCCUCUCGGU